rnacentral:misc_RNA from 1 species
CAACGACGCAAGUACUCAUAGUGAUCAAGAUCAACCAUCCUUCACUCCUCAGCCACUGUAGUAGUUUCUGAUUAUUCUAGUUGUGUGUAUGAGUUGGUGUGUACGUACGUAUAUGGAUAUUGGUAGGACGGGUAGACGCGGCUGAAGCUUGACUCGCUGGGACUCGAUCCUUCUUAUGGUAAGUCGGGGUAGGCACAGCUCGAGUUGAUUUCACUGGCCCUCACAUAUGGAUUAUUAAGCGGAAGUCCAGCUCGAGUUGAUCUCGCUGGCAGGUCUUAUAUUAAGAGAGCUGGGUAGGGGGAUCAGCUCCCCAUAUAU